UACUGAGGAUGCAAGCGUUAUCCGGAAUUACUGGGCGUAAAGCGUCUGCAGGUGGGCUUUUAAGUCCUUUGUUAAAGCCUGAGGCUUAACCUCAGAAAAGCAAAGGAAACUAUUAGUCUAGAGGAUGGUAGAGGUAGAGGGAAUUUCCAGUGGAGCGGUGAAAUGCGUAGAUAUUGGAAAGAACGCCAAUGGCGAAAGCACUCUACUGGGCCAUUUCUGACACUCAGAGACGAAAGCUAGGGGAGCAAAUGGG
rnacentral:rRNA from 1 species